GCCCUCGGAACACGGGGUUAAGGCAGGAAUUCCACUUCUAGAAAAGCCUCCUGCAGCUGCGCUCCCACAAGUGCGCAAAGAUUGCCAAUUUUAAUAUUAAAGCGGAUAAUUAUUAAGGGCUCACUAGGUAGCAGGUCGUGGACUGCGCUAAAUCAAUUAGUUCAUGCAGUCCCCAGAGCAACCUGGAUCUAUUAUUAUUCCCGGAUUUAGUGAUGAGGAAAUUGGUUUGCUUAAAGUUUCAAUGAGUCAGUUGUGAGAAUAAUCGCAACUAUAUUCUGUCAAGGACCCUGUGAAGUAGAUCUUACCACCUUUAUUUGCCCAAGUAUACACACAGUGGUGGGUUGGAGAACCCGGACUUGAAUAAGCCUGUUGCAGUCCUGAGCCUUUGCGCUGAACCGCUGGUGACUUACUUCCAGUCAAACCCGUGCAAACACUGCAACUUUAGUUGUACGAAAAACAGUUGGGAACAACCUACCUGUCCUUCAUUAGGAGAGUGGCUGAUAAAAUACAGUGGAGACAUACAGCGGCAGAGAGAAAGAUGGAAUGAAGCAACACCUCAUCAAGAGAAGCAACCUGGGCAAACCAGGCCUGGUUUAACUGCACUUUCUCACGUUUGAUCAUUUUCUCAAGAGAUACGUGCGUGGUCCUCUGCAAUUCAGAAUGAAAUCUGAACUUCUGGAAAAACUCUCCUAGAGGGGGUUUGAGGACAAGAGACAAGGGAAAUUUGGACACAGACAUACAAAGAGGAGAGAAUGCUAUAUGAAGACACAGAGACAGACAGACCCAGAGAACAGAUGGCCAUGUGACCACAGAGGCUGUGAUUGGCAUUGCAUAGCUACAAGCCAGGAAACUCUGAGGAUUUCCAGAAACCUCCAGAAGUUAGUAGAGAGGUAUGGAAUAGAUUCUCCCCAUGCCUGAGCUGCCAAGAAGGAACUAAGCCUGCUGAUACCUUGAUUUUGGACAUCUGGCCUCCUGAACUGUGAGAGAAUAAAUUUCUGUUGUGUUAAGCCAUUCAGUUUGUGGUACAACAGCCCUGGGGAACUAAUACAGCACUUCUUAGUCAACCCAAGGAGAGGGCUCAUUUGCAGGAUGGAAUUCCUCCCCUUUUUAACAUUUAGCCAUCUAGUCGCAAUGGUGGGCAGGUUCUAAAUUGAUAGCCAUUUCCACUGACUUUGCUAGAGUAAAUAUUUUGCGUCCUCCCAUCCCUCUCUCAUGCCCCACCACUGUCAUUAAACAAGGCAGAAGAAUUCAAAGCACUUACCUUGAUGAAACAUUUCUUUGGGUCAUUAUAGUUUCAAGGAUUAGAAUUUUCCACUUGUUAUUCCAAGCAUUUGUUUGCCUGAGCACUUUCUAUCAUGGUCCAUAAAAUACUGUGUAAGUCUCAUCACUCCAAUAGUUUCUCUUUUAACCAAGUCCAAUUGUUCCAGGAUACAAUCAGUAUAAUCAAAAUAUUUCAAAAGUUGAAAUCAAUGAAAAACAGGUGGCUUUCUUUUUCUUGAGUCUUUUGUCCAAAAUGAUGGGUUCACACAUAUAUUUUGCCAUGAAAUAAUUUCUUCCAUUAUUUCUUUGGUAAUUAUGAAAUAAUCCUAAACUACAAGCAAUUUUAAAGAUGAGAUUCAAAAAAACUUUAAGUGAUUUUUGGCAUCCUUAAACUAUUAUGACAAUUAUCUCAAUCACUGGAAGAAAAGUAUAGGUGUGGUUUGGACACAGGUGCAAAUAACAUAGUAAUCAAAAUGCUGAUAAAGCAAUCCUCUUCCCAGUCAACCAUUUGACUAAAUAAGUAACUUUAGGUUUGACCUCAAUUAAUGAGGUAUAUUCAGGUUUCAAAGCAGGUUUAGAAGUGUAUGAACUAUGAACUAUGACUCCCAAAUAUAAUUGUUACCUAUCUGAUACCCAAGCUAGCAGAAACUAUGACUAUCAGUGCAGUUAUGCAACUAUAAAAAGCAUCAGGAGAGUUAUGCAACUAUAAAAAUCAUCAGGAGAGUUAUCAAGUAAGAUGUUAGUUGACCAUUUAAGACAGAAAAUAGAGAUAUCUUAAAAUUAGAAGUGAGUCACAUGAAUAGAAAUACCACUGGUGGAGAGGGAGAAAGCUUCUAACUUUUCUUACCAAAUAUUGCUAGUUCCUUGAAAUAAUCAUUAUUAGUAUUUUGGCUAAUCUUAUUAUUGCCACUAGGAAAAAUUCCUUAGGGUAUUUCAGCCUUUAACAUCCUUAGGAUCCUGAGAGGGGGAAACACACAGAAAGGCAGAAAAUUAGGAUUAUGUUACUUAGAUGAUUGGAGAAGAAGAUCUCUUCCCCUAUGAAAGCCAACAUAUUUUAUACAUAGUUCAUGGCUGAUUACAUAAUACAUGGUGUUCAGUGAAAAAUGAAAAUGCAGGACCCCUUGUUCAAAAAUCAGGAAACAGGUGUUGUAUAUGAACAUUUUUCCUUUCUUUCAUGGCCUUUCUUAAAUUGUCAUGAUGUUUUUCACUUGUUCUUUAAUGUCAUUCUAAGUAAAGAAUAAUUAAAAUGUUAAUUAUUAGCAUGAACUUCACUAUUCAUCUUUAUACUGUACCAUGCCAGUUUUAAAUGCUAGUUUAAAUAUAAGAGCACUUAACUCAAACACAGAAUCACUGAAAUUAUACAAUUUGUAACUUGUAGUUUCUACAUGUUUAUGUAUUUUUCUUACCAGAACAAUGGAAACACUGAACAAAGCUGACUUGGAUGUUGCUAUUUAGUUUGGUAUGCACACAUUCUACCAAUGCUCUCCACUUUUGGCUUA
rnacentral:lncRNA from 1 species